rnacentral:rRNA from 1 species
CCUACGGGAGGCUGCAGUGGGGAAUAUUGGGCAAUGGGCGCAAGCCUGACCCAGCAAUGCCGCGUGAAGGAUGAAGGCUUUCGGGUUGUAAACUUCUUUGACAGGGGAAGAGCAGAAGACGGUACCCUGAAAACAAGCCACGGCUAACUACGUGCCAGCAGCCGCGGUAAUACGUAGGUGGCAAGCGUUGUCCGGAUUUACUGGGUGUAAAGGGCGUGUAGCCGGGAAGGCAAGUCAGAUGUGAAAUCUGGAGGCUCAACCUCCAAAUUGCAUUUGAAACUGGUUUUCUUGAGUACUGGAGAGGCAGACGGAAUUCGUUGUGUAGCGGUGAAAUGCGUAGAUAUAAGGAGGAACACCAGUGGCGAAGGCGGUCUGCUGAACAGCAACUGACGGUGAGGCGCGAAAGCGUGGGGAGCAAACAGGAUUAGAUACCCUUGUAGUC